rnacentral:rRNA from 1 species
GUCCUCAAGGAAGAUAAUGACGGUACUUGAGGAGGAAGCCCCGGCUAACUACGUGCCAGCAGCCGCGGUCAUACGUAGGGGGCUAGCGUUAUCCGGAUUUACUGGGCGUAAAGGGUGCGUAGGCGGUUUUUCAAGUCAGGAGUGAAAGGCUACGGCUCAACCGUAGUAAGCUCUUGAAACUGGGAGACGUGAGUGCAGGAGAGGAGAGUGGAAUUCCUAGUGUAGCGGUGAAAUGCGUAGAUAUUAGGAGGAACA